UACGUAGGGUGCGAGCGUUGCCCGGAUUUAUUGGGCGUAAAGGGCGCGCAGGCGGCUCGGCACGUCCGUUGUGAAAUCGCCCGGCUCAACUGGGCGGGGUCAGCGGAUACGGUCGAGCUUGAGCAAGCUAGGGGGCAAUGGAAUUCCCGGUGUAGUGGUGGAAUGCGUAGAUAUCGGGAGGAACACCAGUGGCGAAGGCGGUUGCCUGGAGCUUUGCUGACGCUGAGGCGCGAAAGCGUGGGGGAGCGAUCCGG
rnacentral:rRNA from 1 species